AAGUUUAGAAAUAUGUAGUUAAGUAGUUAUGUUCCAUCAAGUUUCAGCCUCUUCGUGGCAAUAGUCAAAAUAUAAAUGUCGCCUCUUGGGUAUAUCUAGAUCGAACUUCAUCCAUACUUUGUGGAGCUUGUUGACUAUCAAAAUAAAAUUGUGAAGGUUAAGUUUCAAAAUUUGAGAACAUUAUUAUGCUUCUUAGGAAAAAAAAUUAGAAACAUUGUUGCAUAGAACAAAUGUUUUUUAGAACCUCAGUUAUGAGAAUCAGUUGAUUGUCUGGACUAAAAGAUGUUACUAAAUGUAUCUCUGUAUUGCUUGAUGGAUUUCUAUAUGGGUACUUCUAAGGUAGUAAGAGGCCAAGGUAAGGGAAAUCCUGCUAGUUGCCAUGCAUUUCUUGUCUUUAUGAAAAUCUUUAGUACCAGGUGCAAAAAGGUGACUUAUUAAAAUAAGUACGUUAGAUUAGGAGGCUUUUAAUUUAAUGUUGUGGAGAAGUUUUUCAUGUGCAGAUUAAGACUUGAAACAGGGAUGAAGUCUGGAUAGCAAAAGCAACAGCCAAAGAACGUGCAGAAAUUUUCUUGUAUUUUCAUAGACUUAACAUCUAAUUCUCUUCCUAGACUGGAGAAAAAUAUUGGAGUUGACAGGUGUUGGUGUCAAUGUUCGCAUAUGGACUGUGUAGGUCAAGGUUGUGGAAGUAUCAAGAUAUUAUAGGUUUUGCAUCAAGAAUGAUGCAGCCUUAAGAUGCAUGGGAGUGAUGACAUAACACAACUCUGCAUAAAAUCAGCCGCCAUAAUUGCCUAAUUGAAUCCAAUGGACCUACUUGAGAUGACACAGUGAAGAUGAUAAAUGUGCGACAUGUUUGAUAGAGGAUGGGAAGGAGCUACAUAUUGACAUUCUUAUCAAGAUCAACAAGAACAAAGUCUUCGACUCUUUUAUGUGUUAAGCUAGUAUAUAUGUUCAAUUGUGAACCAUGGCCGCAAUGAUUAACAUCUGAAUGAUCAUCAUCAUGGGACCAAACAAUCAAAGUGGCAAUCUUGGAAGGUGCUUGUUGUGGCAAUUCCAAGAAUGGUUGUCUUUAUAGGGAAG